rnacentral:misc_RNA from 1 species
CUCUCUCUCUCUCUCUCUCCAAUGAGAAAGGACCAUUUCAGCAAGAUUUCAAUUUUACAAUUUCAGUGAGAUUUCAAUUUUUCACAUUAUCAUAAUGGGGAAUACCACCACAAUGGAAGGCUAAAUUUCUGAUACACUAUGUAUCAGUUAAGUCUCAGCCAUCAUUUAAGAACCCAGGGAAGUCACUAAAACUAUUCAAAUCAAUUUCUGAAUAACUUUCUACAAUCACCAAAUUUGGCACCUAAACCAAGCCUAUUUUCUAACAUCUAGACACCUGUUUGUCCAAGGACUGAUAGAGCUUGGGUUUAUGCAAGGCACAAGUGAAAAUAAUUUGCAUGCUCUACAAGAGGUAGCAAAUUUGUAGAAGCUGAUGAAACCCUGAUUUGACAAUGAAAUAUGCAUCUUGCAACAUGUCUGUGGUGGAUGACGCACUAGCAAAUAUCAGACAUGACAAUAUGUAACAAAUAAAGGCAUGUAGAUAUGCUGUAAAACUUUCAAAAAACAAAUCAGUGCUAAUACAAAAAUAAAUAUCAUAUAUGAAUAUAAUAAAGCAAAAUCAUGAAAUGCCAUGACAAAUAAAAAACAAAACAAAAUACUGAAGACUAUCCCAUUGAAAGUGUAACAUAA